CCCGCCCGGGGGGCUCGGGGGGCUCGGGGGGUGGCGGUCGCCCUGCCGCCCCACACGCGGGUGCCGCUGCGUUACCUGGGCGCUCGGCACAGGGUCUGCGGGCAGCGGGCGUGUGGGGGGGGGCGGCCUGUCCGAGGGGGGGGCCUGGGCAGACAGAGACGGAGGGGGACAGUGAGACGGAGGGGGACAAGCGGGGCGGCACGGGGAGCAGCCGUGUCACAAGUCCCCGAGAGCUGGAGCGCAGCCGGACAUGCAGCGGGGCCGGGGUGGGCUGGGGGAUACCUCCCCCCGCUGCCCGGGCAUUACCUUGGGCACAGGGUCCGGCGGGAGAGGCCGGGAGGGCGGAUCAGGCCGGGCUGAGCCGAGGGCAGCCGGCUGCGGAGAGAGGGAGAGGGGGGACAAGCCAUGCAGCAUGCGGAGACCCCCCUCCCGCCAGGCAGAGACAGAGAGCCCCCCUCAGUGCACAGCCCCGGCUGGGACGGGCUCCAACCCUGGCUGUGCCAGGCUGCUACGGGUGGGACGCCACGUGUGGGACGCUCUGAGCACCCCAGGACCGGAGAGAACUACCCCCAGCACCCCCAUCCUCACCUUGCUGCCGUGCAUGACCUGCAGCUCCGUGGCCUGGCGCCACUGCGGGGGCCGGGGACGCGCAGGGGGACCUUGGUUGCUGCCCGGCCGGGGUUCUGGCUGCGAGAUCCUGCAGGGGAGACACAGCGUGAGACCGACCCUGCUCGCUCUGGGCACUCGGGGGAACCCGCACGGCGACCGAGCGACACCGACACCAGCAGAAGCCCAAGAGAAACGAACCCCUCGGCGCCGGAAGAUGCGACACCCCGCACCCCGGGGCUGCCCCGCACCCCACGGGCACUGCCAGGGGAAGAGCGCAGCACCGGAGGCCUUGCGAAGCAGGACGGCUCGGGGACAGCCCCACGCCCGGGCGCCGGCGGUGACGUUACCCACUCCAGCCGUCUGCGGCUCCGGGACCCAGGAACCGCACCCGGGUCUCAGCACUGUGGGGAG
rnacentral:lncRNA from 1 species